UUUCUCUACCAUCAAUAUUCUCUUUAUCAUUGAUCUCUUCCUCUCCCUGCAAAAAAGGAAAAUAAGGUGCGCAUAGAGAAUGUCCACGUUGGUUUAAAAAAUCCACAAAUCAUAGAGUUUCAGUUCUCCAUGUCACUUCCACGUCACUAUUGGCUUCUGUCGACUGAAAUUCAGCCAUUGAUUUCUACUUCCGUGAAUCUCUUGGUCUCUUUCUCUACCAUCAAUAUUCUCUUUACCAUUGAUUUCUUCUUCUCCCUGCAAAUUCGUUUUUGAUAAAUAAAUUACAUAAAGGAAUUAUUCAAAAUUCUUGCAUUUUCACUUGCCCUUUCGCUUUGCUUUUUGAUUCAGUUGAUUUAAAAUUAAAUCUAUUUAUUGAAACAAAAAAACUACAAAUUCAAAGAUUUAACAUCACAGGCCAAGCAAAAGCUAAAGAAAACUCAGCUUCUUCCUCAUGUUACUUCACCGCCGCCGUUGAUCACCGUGUAAUCAAUCUAUACACAAACAAUUACGUCCUCUUUUCUUCCUCUGCUCACACUUCGCUUCAUCACCACGACGAAUCUCUCUCUGCAGAAUUUGUUAGAGACAAGGAAGUCAAGGAUGUUGUGCUGAGAAGCAUGAAGAUAGUGGGACCGUAAAGCCAUCAGAUGAACUUUCUCAAGAAGAUAUUGGAGUCAUAAAUAUGCGUAUUUCUAAACUCUUUGAACCUGUAGAAAAGGCGAGUCAUUUAGGGUCGUAACAGGUCCUUCUAGCUUUAAGGAGAUUGAAAGGGAGCUGGAAUAGGAUAAGAUGACAUUUGAGACAAAGCUUAUCAUUAGCUUUGCUAAAUCCAGAAUGGUGACUUCAGUUAAAGUUUCAUAUUGAUUUUGCUAUAUCAAAAGCUUUGCUAAAAUGAAAAUGGUGCCCUGUUAUCAUUAGUUUUACUUUCCAUGUAUUCAAGAUAUUUAUCACGAAGAGCAAGAAUUUUUUCCAGCGCGAAGCUGGUUAGAGCUAUUAAUGCUUUCUAAAUCUCAUGAUAUUUCUUUACUCACAAAUCUAGGGAACAAUGGAUUUUGCUUCACUUUUUUUUUUCUCUACUGUGGUCUUGAUAGAUGAAUAUGCAGAGACAGCGAUGAAGAAAAUACUACUGGAGCUGAAGCCUUGCAAUCUGAUUAUGUAUUUGACAAAACUUCAGGGAAUUCUUCCACAGAGCUGUACAUUUCCCUACACAAAAUUUUGCUUGCACACGCUUCUGCGACAAACUUAUGCAAGAAAUCCCAGCACAAGCAACAGGGAUUGGUAGGCAUUAGCAUAUACAUAUACGAUGCUUUGACUGAUGUCCCCCUAACUAACUCCAGAAGUUAAGCAGGCAACAGCCAGAUUCAAUGACUUCUUUAUUGGAUGUUUGGGUCUUUUUGUAAGGGACUUACAGGUUUGGCGAGAAUCCUGAAACGAUGAAGACCAUAGUUGGGUCUAAGAUUACUCGCUUUUACAGAGGAUGAGUCGGAUCAAGAUAAAUUACAUGACACUUUACGUCUAGGAUAAGUCUUCUCUCUGAAACAAAAUCUCCAUGAUUUCAACAUAGACAUGGCUGUGGAACUGACCCCGUUUGGAAACACAUCUUCAAGAAUGAGUAUGCAAAUACACAAUGGAGUCAGUACUGUUGUAUACCAAAGAACACUACGGCAUAUUAAGUAUCUGAGGACACGACUAGAACUAAGUAUCUGAGCUCACACAUUGAAGCAUUGCUUCAAUCACUCAGGUAACUUCUACAGUAGAGCGUAGCGCAAGUUCUAUGAAAGUGUGAGACACUAAGAUUCAAUAUCCCAAAGAAAGAAAGGAUCAACUGUAAAAGGGUAUUUUCAGUGGUCGGUGAUGGAUUUAUAUGAGAUAUCUGGAGGGUAUAACAUAUGGAUUAUAUUUGUGGACUUCAAGGAUCUUUAUCGUAGGGAGCCUAAACUCUGCUUGGGGGAAGACUUCACCAUAGAUCGCAUGUUUUAGCUCUCUGAUGAGCUUCGAUGGACAUGUGUCUUACGUCUGAAGAAACAUUUAUAUCACAAAACUUAUAUGUGGUGAAGUCAUUGUGAUUAAUUAAUAGUUUCCACUAACA